rnacentral:rRNA from 1 species
GUGGGGAAUAUUGGACAAUGGGCGAAAGCCUGAUCCAGCCAUGCCGCUUGUGUGAAGAAGGUCUUCGGAUUGUAAAGCACUUUAAGUUGGGAGGAAGGGCAGUAAGUUAAUACCUUGCUGUUUUGACGUUACCGACAGAAUAAGCACCGGCUAACUUCGUGCCAGCAGCCGCGGUAAUACGAAGGGUGCAAGCGUUAAUCGGAAUUACUGGGCGUAAAGCGCGCGUAGGUGGUUUUGUAAGUUGGAGGUGAAAUCCCCGAGCUCAACCUGGGAACUGCAUCCGAAACUGCAUGACUAGAGUACGGUAGAGGGUAGUGGAAUUUCCUGUGUAGCGGUGAAAUGCGUAGAUAUAGGAAGGAACACCAGUGGCGAAGGCGACUACCUGGACUGAUACUGACACUGAGGUGCGAAAGCGUGGGGAGCAAACAGGAUUAGAUACCCUUGUAGUCC